UCACGAGGGCUUUACUGUCUCCUUUCUCCAAUCAGUGAAACUGAUCUCCCCGUGAAGAAGCGGGGAUGACAAUAUAAGACGAGAAGACCCCAUGGAGCUUUAAACCCAACGACACCCCUCAACCCCCCAACCCAUUAUAGUUGCUACAGCCCUGUUCGUUGGUUUUAGGUUGGGGUGACCGCGGAGUAUAAAUUACCCUCCACGACGAAUGGGACUACCCCCUUACCCAAGAGCUACUCCUCUAAGGAUCAACAGAUUGACGUAAAAUGAUCCAAGCAUUUGAUCAACGGACCAA
rnacentral:rRNA from 1 species